UCAUUCAGGCAGCAAGUGUUUCCACCAAUAAAAUAAAAAGAAUUGAUUUCAUCCAGAAGAACUGUUUGAACUGUGGACUGUUUGAAAUAUUUUGCACCUGCUCAGAAAUCCCUUCACAGCCUGCCUUUGAAUUUGAAAAGCUGUUUUUAAUUAAAUAAAUUUUCUAGAUAAAUAA